rnacentral:rRNA from 1 species
AUUGAACGCUGGCGGCAGGCUUAACACAUGCAAGUCGAGCGAGCGGCGGACGGGUGAGUAAUGUCUGGGAUACUGCCUGAUGGAGGGGGAUCACUACUGGAAACGGUAGCUAAUACCGCAUACAAUCAGAUGUGCCCAGAUGGGAUUAGUUAGUAGGUGGGGUAAUGGCUCACCUAGGGGACGAACCCUAGCUGGUCUGAGAGGCUGACCAGCCACACGGGAACUGAGACACGGUCCAGACGCCUACGGGAGGCAGCAGUGGGGAAUAUGGCACAAUGGGCGCAAGCAUGAUGCAGCCAUGCCGCGUGUGUGAAGAAGGCCUUCGGGGUGUAAAGCACUUUCAGCGAGGAGGCGUUACUCGCAGAAGAAGCACCGGCUAACUCCGUGCCAGCAGCCGCGGUAAUUC